GACGAACGCUGGCGGCGUGCCUAAUACAUGCAAGUCGAACGCAGUUGCGAACGGGUGCGUAACGCGUAGGUAACUGCCUCAUAGCGGGGGAUAACUAUUGGAAACGAUAGCUAAUACAGCAUACUGUGAGAUGGCCCUGCGUUGUAUUAGCUAGUUGGUGAGGUAAAGGCCCACCAAGGCGCCGAUACAUAGCCGACCUGAGAGGGUAAUCGGCCAAAAUGGGACUGAGAAACGGCCCAGACUCCUACGGGAGGGAGCAGUAGGGAAUCUUCCGCAAUGGACGGAAGUCUGGCCGAGCAAAGCCGCGUGAGUGAAGAAGGUUUUCGGGUCGUAAAGCUCUGUUGUUAGGGAAGCGGUACCUAACCAGAAAGGGACGGCUAACUACGUGCCAGCAGCCGCGGUAAUAC
rnacentral:rRNA from 1 species